CUAACCACCGGGAUGUUCAUAACCCUUUGUUGUCCGACUCUGUUGCCUCCGGGGCGACCCUGCCUUCGGGCGGGGGCUCCGGGUGGACACUUCAAACUCUUGCGUAACUUUGCAGUCUGAGUAAACUUAAUUAAUAAAUUAAAACUUUUAACAACGGAUCUCUUGGUUCUGGCAUCGAUGAAGAACGCAGCGAAAUGCGAUAAGUAAUGUGAAUUGCAGAAUUCAGUGAAUCAUCGAAUCUUUGAACGCACAUUGCGCCCCCUGGUAUUCCGGGGGGCAUGCCUGUUCGAGCGUCAUUUCACCACUCAAGCCUCGCUUGGUAUUGGGCAACGCGGUCCGCCGCGUGCCUCAAAUCGACCGGCUGGGUCUUCUGUCCCCUAAGCGUUGUGGAAACUAUUCGCUAAAGGGUGUUCGGGAGGCUACGCCGUAAAACAACCCCAUUUCUAAGGUUGACCUCGGAUCAGGUAGGGAUACCCGCUGAACUUAAGCAU
rnacentral:rRNA from 1 species